rnacentral:rRNA from 1 species
CUCCGGUUGAUCCUGCCGGACCUGACUGCUAUCGGAUUGGUACUAAGCCAUGCGAGUCAUUGUAGCAAUACAAGGCGGACGGCUCAGUAACACGUAGUCAACCUAACUCGUGGACGUGGAUAACCUCGGGAAACUGAGAAUAGACCACGAUAGAUCAUAGUGCCUGGAAUGGCUUAUGGUCCAAACAGUUUACUGCCAUGGGAUGGGACUGCGGCCUAUCAGCUUGUUGGUGAGGUAAUGGCCCACCAAGGCGAUUACAGGUACGGGCUCUGAGAGGAGAAGCCCGGAGAUGGGUACUGAGACACGGACCCAGGCCCUAUGGGGCGCAGCAGGCGAGAAACCUUAGCAAUGUGCGAAAGCACGACUGGGUCAGUCCGAGUGAUUCCUGAUAAAGGAGUCUUUUGCUUGUCCUAAAAGCACAGGUGAAUAAGGGGUGGGCAAGUCUGGUGUCAGCCGCCGCGGUAAUACCAGCACCUCGAGUGGUCAGGACGUUUAUUGGGCCUAAAGCAUCCGUAGCCGGCUCUGCAAGUCUUCGGUUAAAUCCACCUGCUCAACAGAUGGGCUGCUGGAGAUACUACAGAGCUAGGGAGUGGGAGAGGCAGACGGUAUUCAGUGGGUAGGGGUAAAAUCCUCUGAUCCAUUGAGGACCACCAGUGGCGAAGGCGGUCUGCCAGAACACGUUCGACGGUGAGGGAUGAAAGCUGGGGGAGCAAACCGGAUUAGAUACCCGGGUAGUCCCAGCUGUAAACGAUGCAAACUCGGUGAUGCAUUGGCUUAUGGCCAAUGCAGUGCCGCAGGGAAGCCGUUAAGUUUGCCGCCUGGGAAGUACGGACGCAAGUCUGAAACUUAAAGGAAUUGGCGGGGGAGCA